rnacentral:tRNA from 1 species
GGGUCGUUAGCUCAGUUGGUAGAGCAGUUGACUUUUAAUCAAUUGGUCGCAGGUUCGAAUCCUGCNCGACCCACCA